rnacentral:rRNA from 1 species
GACGAACGCUGGCGGCGUGCUUAACACAUGCAAGUCGAACGGAAAGGCCCUGCUUUUGUGGGGUGCUCGAGUGGCGAACGGGUGAGUAGCCCGUGAGUACCCUGUACCUGACCUUGGGAUAACCUCAGGCAACUGGAGCUAAUACCGGAUAGGAGCUCCUGCUGCAUGGUGGGGGCUGGAUAGUUUCGGCGGUUGGGGAUGGACUCGCGGCUUAUCAGCUUGAUGGUGGGGUAGUGGCUUACCAAGGUUUUGACGGGUAGCCGGCCUGAGAGGGUGACCGGCCACAUUGGGACUGAGCUACGGCCCAGACUCCUAAGGGACGCAGCAGUGGGGAAUAUUGCACAAUGGGCGGAAGCCUGAUGCAGCAACGCCGCGUGCGGGAUGACGGCCUUCGGGUUGUAAACCGCUUUCGCCUGUGACGAAGCGUGAGUGACGGUAAUGGGUAAAGAAGCACCGGCUAACUACGUG